rnacentral:rRNA from 1 species
CCCUUAGAUGUUCUGGGCCGCACGCGUGCUACACUGAGUGGAUCAGCGGGUCAGGUUGCGCGAAAGCGUUUCCUAAUCUUUAAAUCCGCUCGUGAUGGGGAUUGACGGUUGCAAUUUUCUGUCAUGAACGAGGAAUACCUUGUAAGCGCGGGUCAUCAUCCCGCGCUGAAUACGUCCCUGCCCUUUGUACACACCGCCCGUCGCUCCUACCGAUUGAGUGGUCCGGUGAGGCUUUGGGAUCUGAGCGGAAAGAGCGUUUCGCUGUUUCUGCUCGGAAAAAUCAGUCGAACCUUAUCAUUUAGAGGAAGGAGAAGGCGUAACA